UACGUAGGGUGCGAGCGUUAAUCGGAAUUACUGGGCGUAAAGCGUGCGCAGGCGGUUUGUUAAGUCCAUUGUGAAAUCCCCGGGCUCAACCUGGGAAUGGCGGUGGAAGCUGGCGAGCUAGAGUGUGUCAGAGGGGGGUGGAAUUCCACGUGUAGCAGUGAAAUGCGUAGAGAUGUGGAGGAACACCAAUGGCGAAGGCAGCCCCCUGGGAUAACACUGACGCUCAGGCACGAAAGCGUGGGGAGCAAACAGG
rnacentral:rRNA from 1 species